CUUUAGACAGCGCAACAGAGAGAAAGAGACUGUUUGUUUGGAAGAAAGUGAGAAAAGAGGACAAGAUUCUCUGCCUGUUCAUCCGGACACUUCUUGCAGAUCUCGUCCAAGCCCACCAAUGUAUUAUCAAUUUCAGAAUUUCAGGUU